CCUACGGGCGGCAGCAGUGGGGAAUAUUGGACAAUGGGCGAAAGCCUGAUCCAGCCAUGCCGCGUGUGUGAAGAAGGCCUUCGGGUUGUAAAGCACUUUCAGUGGGGAAGAAAGCCUUGGGGCUAAUACCCUCGAGGAAGGACAUCACCCACAGAAGAAGCACCGGCUAACUCCGUGCCAGCAGCCGCGGUAAUACGGAGGGUGCGAGCGUUAAUCGGAAUUACUGGGCGUAAAGCGCGCGUAGGCGGUCUGAUAAGCCGGUUGUGAAAGCCCCGGGCUCAACCUGGGAACGGCACCCGGAACUGUCAGGCUAGAGUGCAGGAGAGGAAGGUAGAAUUCCCGGUGUAGCAGUGAAAUGCGUAGAGAUCGGGAGGAAUACCAGUGGCGAAGGCGGCCUUCUGGACUGACACUGACGCUGAGGUGCGAAAGCGUGGGUAGCAAACAGGAUUAGAUACCCGAGUAGUC
rnacentral:rRNA from 1 species